rnacentral:rRNA from 1 species
GACGAACGCUGGCGGCGUGCUUAACACAUGCAAGUCGUACGGUAAGGCCCUUUCGGGGGUACACGAGUGGCGAACGGGUGAGUAACACGUGAGUAACCUGCCCACAACUUUGGGAUAACGCUAGGAAACUGGUGCUAAUACUGGAUAUGUGCUCCUGCUGCAUGGUGGGGGUUGGAAAGCUCCGGCGGUUGUGGAUGGACUCGCGGCCUAUCAGCUUGUUGGUGGGGUAGUGGCCUACCAAGGCGGCGACGGGUAGCCGGCCUGAGAGGGUGACCGGCCACAUUGGGACUGAGGUACGGCCCAGACUCCGACGGGAGGCAGCAGUGGGGAAUAUUGCACGAUGGGCGCAAGCCUGAUGCAGCAACGCCGCGGGCGGGAUGACGGCCUUCGGGUUGAAAACCGCUUUCAGCAGGGACGAAGCUUUUUGUGACGGUACCUGCAGAAGAAGCACCGGCUAACUACGUG